GCUCCCUGGGACCGGGGCUCGCUCCGCUGCCUCGGACAUUGGGGGCUCGCCGGGGCAGCGGGGAGGGCAGCUCUGCCGCCCGCCCGCUCCCUGCGGCGGGAGGUCCGGCUAUGAGCCCCCUCGGCGCUCAGCUCCCCGGGGAAGAGCUGCCCCUCGCAGUCCCCUCGGCCCCGGAGUAAACAAGUGGGUGAAACUCAACACCCCAGGGCUGCGGGCGGCUAAGAAUAACGUCCCGCUGGCUGCUCCGGCCCUGCAAUCUGCUCUCUCAGCCUUCCCCCUGCCAGCUGCCUGCUGCCCCCCCGGCCAUUUCGGCUCCUCUCCCGGCGCCAGCCUCGCCAGGGAGGGCAGGGAGCCCGGGCACCCAGUGCCGAGCGGCCCUUGGGGGAAGCCAGGCAACAGCUGAAGGGCAGGACGCCCAGCAAGGGGUGGGAGACGGCUGGGCACCACGGGAGAAGGGGCCCCGGCCGUCUCUGGAGCACAGGGAGCGGGGCAGAGCAGCGCUUGGCUGCUGAGAAAGUGAGGAGGUAGCGGAGGUGACACAGGAACGCCAGGCAGGCAGCAGCGGGCGAGGUCCUGCCGUCACCGAAUGAGCCCCCAGCCCACGCCAGCACGGCCAGACGAGAGCUCGGCUUCAGCGCACCCACCUCCGAGGGGGUACGGGGAAGAUGCUCCCCCCGCACUUAGCAUCAAGCGGAGAUGGGGCCAGAGGCGGGGAGAAGACCCCUUCCUCCUCCUCCCCAAAGCACAGGGGCUGUGCCAGAGGUGGGGGGACACACGCUGCAUCCCCACGGAACACGGGGGUCACCGGGAACGGCUGCAUCAGCCCCCUCCUGCUCAGGUCCGAUGACAGGACCCGCAGAGGACAGCAUCACCCCGAAACACAUCUGGAGUGACCACAAGACUGCUGGAAGCCAGGGACAAGGGGCUGGUCCCCGAGCAGGGGCUGCAGGAGGAGCAGGAUGGGGACGGGAGGGUUUCAGAGGUAACCUGUCCCCAGCUCGAGCCACAGCAACAACAGUGAGCGAUGAUCAAAGGAACCUUUCCCAUCCUGUGAUUUCAGCACGGACUCCCCUUUCUCCAUAAAAGCUGUUUCAGAAGUUUAAAAAUAAAAUUCUCUUCCGCA